CAAGUCUGGUGCCAGCAGCCGCGGUAAUUCCAGCUCCAAUAGCGUAUAUUAAAAUUGUUGCAGUUAAAAAGCUCGUAGUUGAAUUUCUGCCGCCCCGCCGCGGCCCCCGGGCCCGACGUCGCGGCUUAUUUCGGCGACCUCGCGCCGCCGAAUGUUUACUUUGAGAAAAUUAGAGUGCUCAAAGCAGGCCCUUGCCUUGAAUACUUUAGCAUGGAAUAAUAAAGUAGGACUUUGGUUCUAUUUUGUUGGUUUAGCGCCAAAGUAAUGGUUAAUAGGAACAGUUGGGGGCAUUCGUAUUUAACUGUCAGAGGUGAAAUUCUUAGAUUUGUUAAAGACGAACCACUGCGAAAGCAUUUGCCAAGGAUGUUUUCAUUAAUCAAGAACGAAAGUUAGGGGAUCGAAGACGAUCAGAUACCGUCGUAGUCCUAACCAUAAAC
rnacentral:rRNA from 1 species